rnacentral:rRNA from 1 species
CACGCAGGCGGUUCUGCGCGUUUCGAGUGACAGCGGGUGGCUUAACUGCCCGAGUAUUCGAAAGACGGCAGGACUUGAGGACCAGAGAGGGACACGGAAUUCCGGGUGGAGUGGUGAAAUGCGUAGAGAUCCGGAGGAACACCGAGGGCGAAGGCAGUGUCCUGGCUGGUGACUGACGCUGAGGUGCGAAAGCCAGGGGAGCGAACGGGAUUAGAUACCCCGGUAGUCCUGGCCGUAAACGAUGACCACCAGGUGUGGGAGGGAUCGACCCCUUCCGUGCCGGAGUCAACACACUAAGUGGUCCGCCUGGGGAGUACGGUCGCAAGAUUAAA